AGCAAUCCACCCGCCUUGGCCUCCUGGAGUGCUAGGAUUACAGGCAUGAGCCACCGCAUCCGACCUGGGUGAAGUUCUUGAUCUCCUGGGUCAACAACCUCUGAAGCUGCUCUCCCCUGGCCCAGUCAGCCACACAAACCAUAUGCUCUGAGGACACGGCUGUGAACACAACGGAUGAGGUCCCGGCUCUCACAGAGAUUAUAUUCUACCUGGGAGAGGCUGAUAAUUAACAAGUGAGAUUUAAGGUGACGCCAGGUAGAAAGGGACAGAUGCAGUGACAAUGAACUGAGAGAGGUUUUUGCCCAGCCUCUGCCUUGGUGACCACUGUGUGAGUUUGUGGGACGCUCUCCCUGGGAGCUGCUUGUUCAUUCUGCAGACACCCAUCAGCCACCUGCUCUGUGCUGUUUCAGGAGAAAGGCCUGUGCUGAAAAUACUCCCCCCACCCCCAUUUGUGGUGGACCUGUGUGAUGCACUGAGCCGUGUCCCCUCCGCACAUCAGAUUUCAGCACCCAAAGUUGGACAGUUCCAUGCCUGCCGCCAGUGUCCUGCAUGGAGCUUGUCUCUGCGUCUUUGCUUUGCUGCUUGGGUUGGAGCCCUUGGCUCAGUGCAGGGACAACCAGGAGGAGCAGUUAACAUCCCCGGGAAACCCUCAACCAAAAGAAGACGCGAAUGCAAAGACUCGGACAUGGGAGUGACUGGCCCAGAGCACAUCUGGGAAGGCACGAGAGCCGGAAGUCAGGUCCUGCGUCUGCCCCAGUGCACCUGCUUCGAACAGCAAGGAUAUGCCUGCUUUGAAUCUCUCAUGCAAGAUAGAUCUUUAUGUCCUGAAAAAUAUUUGGAUGUUGGAAACAGCUAAGAGUAAUUUGGCAUCAACUUUGUCAUGAUUCUUGUAAGAAGUAUUUAUUCAGCGCUGAAUGUUCCAGCCCCCACUGGGUUCUGUGGGUACAGAGAGGAGUUCAGGUUCUAAGAGUCAGAGCCAUCCAGCCAUAGAACUGCCUGCUUCCAGAGAAGAGGACAUUUGGACACAGCAAGAAGGGACUCCAGGGGUGCACAGAGGAAAGACCACGUGAGGACACAGCAAGAGGGCGGCCAUCUGCCAGUCGAGGAGAGGGUCCUCAGAAGGAACCAGCCCUGCUGACACUUUGAUCCUAGACUUCCGGCCUCCAGAACGGCGAGGAAAUAAAUUUCUGUUGUUUAAACCCCCAGCCCGAGGUAUUUUGUCACACUAGCCCUAGAGAACAAAUACAGGUGCUACGGAGAAACAUGACACCGAGUGAGGGAUGCAGAAUGAAGGAAAGCACUGCUGUCUGGGCUACCUCAUUCGAUCCCACAGCAAUAAUCUCGACUGCAUAGACGGGGCAGCUGGAGCUCAGAGAGACUGACUUCCAUCAUGCCACACAGCUGGGGAGCCAUAGUGAUUCCGACUUAGGUCUCUUGAUUCCAAAUUACUUUUGCAUGACACAAUGCUAUGCCGCUUCUGUUUCUGAUUUGAAGGCAGAUGAGCACAAAGAUGAUGCUUUACAGUUUAGAAGUUAUUUUCACAGGUGCUCAUGCAUCUGGCCCCCACAGCAGAUUGUACAGGUAGACGGUCACCUCCUUCUCCUCCUCAUCACGACCAGCUUUGUUCACUGAGGCUGAAGGAAGUGAAAUCGUUGGCCCAGUCUCACAGCAGAUAGUGAAAGUGGAACCAGCCCAGUGAACACACACAGCGGGAACACGCAUGCGUGUUUUCCCUGUAGCUUUCUCAUGCUUUGGGUUCCCAAAGCCGCUGGGGCUGGACGACCAGAGCCCUGUAACUUUUCACUAUCUACUUGACCUUUCGAGUUGUUUCCCAGAAGUGGCGGAAUUUCUGCAAGGAAAGGAGUUGAGAUUCCUUCCUGAUGCCAAGACUCACCAUCCUGUAGCUUCUGAACCGAACAACCUGCCCCAAUGCACAGCCCCUCAUUAAUUUCAACACAACCUGCCCCAAAGCACAUAGCCUCAUUCCUCAGUCUCCUCCCCCUGCCCCUUCUCUUAACAUAAAAAGGUGCCUAAAUUUUAUACUAACUUAAGAUGGCUCUUUGGGACACUAGUCUGCCAUCUUCCUGGAUGAUGGCAGAGCAACUUCCAAGGAGUUGCUCUCCUUGCCCCAACACCUUGUCCUUCUGGCUGUCCUUACUUACUGGCUGUCCUUUGGCGAGUGGACCGAGCUUGGACUGGGUUACAAAAGUAUUGGGGUGGGGGCUGGAACUGAAUUCUACUCCACUGCUCUUUCUAUUUUGUAGGAGGAAAUGUUUUCUCUUCCGUCAAAGCCUUGAUGGGACUCCUGAAAUUUACACGGAGCUGGAAGCCUUGGGUCGCUCUCCUAGACAGACCUCGCCGGAUCCCACGGCGAUCUGCCGGGCGGUCAGAGGCAGGACAGUAUGUCCAAUUCUGAGAAACCCAGCUGGUCAGACCCUCUCCCUCACGACCACCCUACCCAGCUGGGGAUGAGACCCUGCCUGGCCCCUCAAGCCUCCUGCCACUGGAUAAAUUAACCCAGCUGUGGAGAGUUAAUUUGUCUGACUCUAAAGAGCAUUCAAUAAGUGUAAAACAAAACUAAUUGGUUCUCUUCCAUACAAAUUUAAUCAUACCAUAAAAUGUGA